rnacentral:rRNA from 1 species
CGUAGGGCGCAAGCGUUAUCCGGAAUUAUUGGGCGUAAAGAGCUCGUAGGCGGUUUGUCGCGUCUGCCGUGAAAGUCCGGGGCUCAACUCCGGAUCUGCGGUGGGUACGGGCAGACUAGGGUGAUGUAGGGGAGACUGGAAUUCCUGGUGUAGCGGUGAAAUGCGCAGAUAUCAGGAGGAACACCGAUGGCGAAGGCAGGUCUCUGGGCAUUAACUGACGC